AUUUCUGGCCACCAUGAAGGCAGUAUUGAUGUAUGACAGUGGUUUGCAAGUUUGGAUGUAAAAGCUGAGAGUGAUCUGACUUGUCUAGUCUGAGAAAGGGAAAGAGGACAAUUUCUAGGAAAGGUUGGGGUGGGGGCACUGAAGCCUGACACUUGAAACUCGGCCAAGGAGAAACAGGUGAGGAGACACUUGGCAGAAAGGUUUUCUUUGGAAAUCACGGGCUGUGUCAUAUAAAACUCUCUAUUGCUUCCUACAGAUUCUUCAGGAGGAUCUGCACAGCUUACAAAUGCUUUGGGAAGUGUGCCUUCUGCCUUCUUUUUCAGGGGAUGCGGAGAACUACCAUGUGCUGCAUUAACUGUAUCUCAAGGUGAAAACCCGAGUGAUGCAUAAGGAGAAGCCAAUAUGCCAACUGCCGUAAGGGCCUUGGCCUCAGGAAGUUCAGACCUCAGAGAACGAAACCUCUCUAUUAAAGCAGUCAUUAAAAUACACCCUGAUAAAUAUGCUAAAGGCUAUUCCAGAAAUACCAAGUAUUGCAUGUACACGUUGGAGCGCAUAACGGACUCUACCUGGGAAAUUGAAGAACAUUUCACAUUUCAAGGUGAAACGAUAGCUUGACAGAUGGAGAAGUAAAAAGGAAACUGUUCAGUUGGAACAAACAGAAACUGUCUCAAAAUAGUCACGUUUCUGUUGACUGCUGUGGAUAACAGAGUAAAAAAGGUGCAGAGUCUUAGAAAAACUGAUUGGAUGAAACAAAUGAAUAGGCAAUGAAUUAGAGUGCUACAAAAAUAACGCGCAGAUCAAAAAAAGAAAGCAUGAACGACAUUAUAAUUAUAAAAUCGAACUAAAAGAAGAAAGUAUUCAACUAAGCAAAGAGGUUUAUGUUGAUGACGACAAAGCUCUAACCAUCAUAAAUGUUUAUUAUAAACCAAAUAACAUGCCCUCUGAGUGCCUGCACCACAAACAGGAGAAACUAUAGGCAAAUUAGACAAAAAGACAAUGGCAGUAACUGUUCCUUCAAUUUUCUUAGCCCCUGACAGAUCAAGUAGAUAAAAUAUAGUAAGGAUAUAGAGUUUACAACUAAUACGGUUAAUGAAGUUGAGCUUAGAAAUACAGGCAUAAACAUGAAUAUCUAGUUUUGACUAUCAAGUCAGUCAAAAACUAUUUGCUGAGCACCUAUUAUGUACCCGACAUUACCUAGGUGCUCAAGUUAUAGCAGUGACUAAAACAGAAGUAAAUCCCUGUGCUUGGGGACUUACAUUACAGAUGUAUGUAAUGCAGAAAGACAUAUGACUCCUGGGCUAAGGGGAAUGCCGGCCAGCUUCCUCCACUGUAAAAUUACCAUUUUGCCUUCUGUAAAUGAUAAACUUCCUGUUGGGAGAGACUCUGAGAUUAUGUAAAUAUCCCCUUUCUCAUUGUGCAUUUACUUACCCGUUUUAAUAUCCACGGAUGAUUCCUGCCUGAAAAAAAUUAUUGCUGUGGUCACUGCCAAGUGACGAUUUUCUAAUUCCCUCACUGCAUCUAUAUUUAGUAGGUGGAAUUCUACUGUAAGCAAAAAGGUGUCCCCCCUCCACAUUUAUUUAUCUAUAGAGUUACAUAAAUGGACUCAUGGAUUCCUAUUUUAUUCCACAGACCAUUACUAUCAUUAUUUACUAUUACGACUAUCAUUAUGUAUUUGGUCAUUCAAACUGCCCCAGAUUUGGUCAGUGGGAGACACUUAAAACUAGCUCCUGUGUCUUUUGCACAUAUCCUCAUCAUUUGAGGACUUCCUUGCUUUCUGGUACAAGAUAUUUCAAACUCAUAUUGUUCUCUCCCUGCCUUGGAGUCAGACACUUCUGCAAGACUCCUUUCAUUGGAGAAUGGCAUUUAGACACUAAGAUACGGGUACCAGGUGUGCUCAUUUUUACCAGGGCAUCAUUGCUUCUAGGCCAUCUCAGACACAGAUAGACAGAUGUACAUAUGCAUACAUAAGUUUAUUUCUAUAUUUUUCUACUAUAUUUAAAACCAUGAAUUCACACUGAUACGUCUAGUUCCAAUCCACCAUCACUGGGUUUAUUCUAGCCCUCUCUUUUCCUUUUUUUUUUUGCUAUUUCUUGGGCCACUUCCGCGCAUAUAGAAGUUCCCAGGCUAGGAGUGGAAUCAAAGCUGCAGCUGCUGGCCGGCCUAUGCCACCGCCACAGUGGUGCCAGAUCCGAGCCGCAUCUGCAACCUACACUGCAGCUCACGGCCACCCUGGAUCCUUAACCCACUGAGUGAGGCUGGGGAUCGAUCCCAUGUCCUCAAGAAUAUUAGUCGGGUUUGUUACCGCUGAACCACAACGGGAGCUUACCUCCUUUUCCUGAAAAUGACACUCUAACUAGAAAACUCACAGGCCAAUGAAAUGGACAGAACAAAGAGCAAUGAGGUAGGGGAGCCUAUGGUCUAGCUAGUUCUAGUUUGGCAGCAGUUUGGGAGGUUGACAAGCAGUCAGCAAACGAUAAGUGGGAGAGAUGGGCAUGGCAUGUGAACUUGAGGCAACUGGGCUGAAGCCGGAAGCUCAGGAAGUUCCUGGCUAUGACAGUCCUACUCUGUCUCUCGCUGCCAUGGGCACAACUCGGAUGAAAAAUGUUCAUAAAACUCCACUGCCUAAUCCUGUUAUCUGAGACCACUGACCAGUGGAAGGGAAACCCCACACAAGUAAAAGCAGGGCUCUUUCUCCUCCUGGCUUUGUGAAUCAGCUUACGAGUGGUCAGAGAGCCAUCUGCCUUGUUUCCUUUUCUUAUCCCUUGCUGUUACCAAGAAAGAUUGGGCCUAAUUAAAGACAUGAGGAUAUAUAGAAGGGAGUCAACAAAGAACAUCAAUAAUCCCCAAUUAAAAGACAAAGACUCAGAGGAAAUGCGGGCAAAUAGAUCAAUGGAACGGAAUAGAGUCCAGGAAGACUCUCACCUACUCAAUCCACUUAUUUGCAACAAACGUACUUGGUCAAUGAAAUGCAGAAAGAGAAGACUUUUUAACAAAUGAUGCUGGAACAAUCAGAAAAAAAAAAAAGAAAAAAGAAUCUCCCCCUCUGCCUCACUCCAUACACGAACAUAAAUUAGAAAUGCAAAAGGCUCAAAGCCCUGUAUUGUUUUGUUCGUUUUUCGCUUUGGGUUUUUUUUGUUUGUUUGUUUGGUUAGUUUUGUUUUGUUUUGUUUUUGAUGGCACCCGUGGCACAUGGAAGUUCCCAGGCAGGGAUCGAAUCCAAGUCGCAGCUGUUACCUAUGCCACAGCUGCAGCAAUGCUGGAUCCUUAACCCACUGCACCAGGCCAGGGAUUGAACCCGUGCCUCCAUAGCAACCUGAGCCACUACAGUCGAAUCCUUAACCCACUGCCAAAGCCCCAUGAGGACAAAACACUUGAACAGAAACUUCAUAUGCCAAUAAGUACAGGAAAAUAUGCUCAAUGUCACUGGUUAUUAGAGAAAUGCAAAAGACAGACUCUGUUUUGGUGUCCUGCUACCCAGCUAGGGGCUGAACAUUCCAAAACAAAAAUAACUCCCUUUACACAAUAUGCGACAUGAAAGGCAUGGAAAAUCAGCACCCUCAUUCAUCAUUAAGAAUGUAAUUGGAACAGCUUUUUGGAGAGCAAUUUGGCAGAAUUUAACACCAUUUUAUGCAAUAAUCUUUGACCCAGCGAUAUCAAUUGUAGGGAUACGCUAAAGAAAAUUCACCCUUGUGCACAAAGAUGCAGAGACAAAACGGUUCACUGCAAAUUUGUUUGGAAGAGUGAAUAUUUGGAAACCCUCUAAAAUUUAGCCCAUUAGUAUGGGGAAGGGUUAAGUAAGCUAUGGGGCAUCCAUUACUCACAUGCUAGAUGCAAUUGUUAAAAUCAGAGGGUGAACUUCUAUUUACUGACAUGGAGGGAUCUCCAAGGGAAACAGACCUAUUGCUAAGUAAAAAGAAGGAAGUCACUGAGCAGUGUAAGUGGUUCUAUUUACAUUAUUAAACACUCACAUCUUUAAAGAGGCACACUUCAUAAAUAAAGGCAAUGCUAAAUUUCUGGAAGAAUACACAUGGGAGUUCGCAACAGUGUCCACCUCUGUGCACAUAUGGAGUGAGGAUACCUUUCACCACUUUUUUUUUC
rnacentral:lncRNA from 1 species